CCAAACACUUCCUGUCACAACAUCUCAUUCAGGAUGGACUUUGACUCCAACCAAACACUUCCUGUCACAACAUCUCAUUCAGGAUGGACUUUGACUCCAACCAAACACUUCCUGCCACAACAUCUCAUUCAGGAUGGACUUUGACUCCAACCAAACACUUCCUGUCACAACAUCUCAUUCAGGAUGGACUUUGACUCCAACCAAACACUUCCUGUCACAACAUCUCAUUCAGGAUGGACUUUGACUCCAACCAAACACUUCCUGUCACAACAUCUCAUUCAGGAUGGACUUUGACUCCAACCAAACACUUCCUGUCACAACAUCUCAUUCAGGAUGGACUUUGACUCCAACCAAACACUUCCUGUCACAACAUCUCAUUCAGGAUGGACUUUGACUCCAACCAAACACUUCCUGUCACAACAUCUCAUUCAGGAUGGACUUUGACUCCAACCAAACACUUCCUGUCACAACAUCUCAUUCAGGAUGGACUUUGACUUCAACCAAACACUUCCUGUCACAACAUCUCAUUCAGGAUGGACUUUGACUCCAACCAAACACUUCCUGUCACAACAUCUCAUUCAGGUCUGGACUUUGACUCCAACCAAACACUUCCUGUCACAACAUCUCAUUCAGGAUGGACUUUGACUCCAACCAAACACUUCCUGCCACAACAUCUCAUUCAGGAUGGACUUUGACUCCAACCAAACACUUCCUGUCACAACAUCUCAUUCAGGAUGGACUUUGACUCCAACCAAACACUUCCUGUCACAACAUCUCAUUCAGGAUGGACUUUGACUCCAACCAAACACUUCCUGUCACAACAUCUCAUUCAGGAUGGACUUUGACUCCAACCAAACACUUCCUGUCACAACAUCUCAUUCAGGAUGGACUUUGACUCCAACCAAACACUUCCUGCCACAACAUCUCAUUCAGGAUGGACUUUGACUCCAACCAAACACUUCCUGUCACAACAUCUCAUUCAGGAUGGACUUUGACUCCAACCAAACACUUC